UACUGACCAUGACUUGUGAACUGUGAUCUUGACCUGUGGUGCUGUACUGGAGGCUGUUACACCAUGGCUGUUCGGAGGAGAUGUUUGGAAGUUCCAGAGAGAAGAUGAUGUGUGAUCAAAAGAUGAAAGAUUAAACCACAGGAAUAUGGAGAACAGGAAAAGGAGUAUACAGAAGAACCAGCUUUCAAGAAAUCUCAAGGGGAUUUCUGCAGAGUGGAAUAUGGCAGAGUUUUUCUUGUUCCUAUCCAUGUGGGUCUAUCUGAGCUCGUACAUCUGGGAGAGGACAACAGCUCUGAUCUGUAGCACUCACCGUUUGCUGAAU